GAUGAACGCUGGCGGCGUGCCUAAUACAUGCAAGUCGAGCGAACAGAUGAGGAGCUUGCUCCUCUGACGUUAGCGGCGGACGGGUGAGUAACACGUGGAUAACCUACCUAUAAGACUGGGAUAACUUCGGGAAACCGGAGCUAAUACCGGAUAAUAUAUUGAACCGCAUGGUUCAAUAGUGAAAGACGGUUUUGCUGUCACUUAUAGAUGGAUCCGCGCCGCAUUAGCUAGUUGGUAAGGUAACGGCUUACCAAGGCAACGAUGCGUAGCCGACCUGAGAGGGGGAUCGGCCACACUGGAACUGAGACACGGUCCAGACUCCUACGGGAGGCAGCAGUAGGGAAUCUGCCGCAAUGGGCGAAAGCCUGACGGAGCAACGCCGCGUGAGUGAUGAAGGUCUUCGGAUCGUAAAACGCUGUUAUUAGGGAAGAACAAAUGUGUAAGUAACUAUGCACGUCUGGACGGUACCUAAUCAGAAAGCCACGGCUAACUACGU
rnacentral:rRNA from 1 species